CCCGGAGAGACCUGCCGGGAGCCUCCGGGGGGAGGGCCCAAGCGGGCCUUCCCUCCCAAGCCCCAGCCAGUGCCCGGGGCGCUGGAGGCACCGGAACCUCCCCCCGCCCCGGGGCGGCCCUCCCCCUGCCCUGCCCUCGGACUCGGGGGAGGGGCGCGGGGCGCGGGACGCGGCGACACCCCUCCCCCCCCCCCCGCACGGCUAGGCCGCCGCUCGCCCCACCCCGAGCAGCCCCGCGGGCCCGCACCCACCCGGUCGCGCGGGCCCCGUCCCGGGGGCGGGGGCGGGGGCGGGGGGGCAGACUGCAAUACCAACCUCGCUGUUGAAGGUUUUCACAGCCUCCAUGUUGUCGGCGCGGAGGCCCCGAGCCCGGCGGCGGAAGAGGCGGCGGCCACUGCACUGGGUGGGGAGAGCGAGGCGGGGGCGGCGGCGCGGCCGCGAGGAGGGGCGCCGGCGGGAGCCCCGGCCGCUGCGACCCCGGGGCGGGCGCGGAAGGGCAGGCCCGGGCGGGGAAGGGCUCCCUCAGGGGCGGCGAGGCCCCGGCAUGGCCGCUGGGGCGGGCGGAGCGCCGGUCUGGGGAACACAGGCGCUGCCGGGGCGGGUCGACAGCGGGCGGGGGAGGGGCCGGGCCGCGGCGCCUUCUCUUCUCCGCCCCGCUCGGUCUCGGCCCGCCGCCCUCUAGCCCCGUCUCCUGCACUCUCCACCCCCUCUCUCUUCUUCCCUCGUCAGACUCCUGUUUCACCUCCCCGCCGCUCGGGCCGCAGGAACCAGCAGCGCGCGGCGAAGACGCAGGAGGAAGCGCUGGCAGCGGCGGCUGCGGCAUCCAAUAUGGCGGCCGCGAGUCGGGCCGCGCAGCUCGGAGAUCCGCGGCGCCGGCCAGCGCGCCCCCUGGUGACUGGACCGCGCGGGCCCGAGCGGCCGCGCGGAAACCAUCGAGCGGGCGCGGGCCAGAGCGUCGCCGCCCGGAGGUCCCGCUCCGCUCGCUCGGCCCGGGGGCAGCCCGCGCCUUGCAGGCACGGGAGCGAGCGCCGGGGCCGCGGCCGCGUGGGGCGCCCGGGCCCGCCCCCGCCCCCGCCCCCGGAGGCCCCCGCGGAGCGUUACCCCGAGACGGGCCCGAGUGUGUCCCCGUAA
rnacentral:lncRNA from 1 species